rnacentral:lncRNA from 1 species
AAGAAGGACCGGUAGAAGAGAGGAAGAUGAGAAUUAAUUGGGGGGUCAGCCAAUAUUAUAAUUUUAACACACUUUGAGGGCUGAUCGGCAGGCUGCUGGUGCUGAAUUUUUUUAUAUAGAUACACGCAAUCACGCAAAGAAAAAAAAGGGAGGCAGACAGUUUCACGCACAUUGAAAGGCUGGCCGGUUGCUACAUUAUCAUAUUAUACUUACAUAGGAACGGAGGAGCCAAGAGGAGAAUUACACGCAUAGACUGAAUUAAAAGGAACACAAUUUUGGCUGCUGCUGGAUUAAACAAUAGACAGCAUACACACGACAGAUUUGGGCAGAAAAGAAGGAAAAGACGGCUAGAGCAAAAUUGGGAAAUUCAUUCACGUUUCGUCAAUUAAUCCCGGUGAUGCCUUCAUUAUUUUAUCUUGUGUUUCUUCCAUUAUUAUGAGUAGCUAGAUUUGAUUUAGGGCGAACAACGUAAUCUUUUGGAACCCUUUAUUUCAUGCAAUUAAAAUUCUAGUGCUUUUAUUUAAUAUGUGUUGAUUUUAAUGUUGUUCUUAAUGCAUUUAAUUACUUGAUCACUAGUUAGAUGAUUUGUGAACAAUGAUUGCGUAGAGAUGCGGAUUAUUUGUUUAGACCACAUGUUAAAAUCGGGCAAAUUGAUAUAACGUGUAGACAUACCUAUAUUGAUUGCUGCGGUCAUGUGCGAAUUCUUAAAAACAAUGUUGCGUUUAAUUAAAUUUAAUUUGCAUAGAGAUAUGGAAUUGAACUAAUUAUAUAGGCUUAACGAGAACUCGAGAG